UUGAAGUCCCAUACAGGGCAGUGGUGGCCUAAAGGUUAGAGAAGAGUGCUUGUGCCCGGGAGGUCGUCGGUUCAAUCCUCAGACCAACAGAUUACCAUCUGGGUGGGGAAAGUGAAAGAGCAGUGCUUGUCCCUCCCUCAUUACCACCUCUGGGGUGC